AUGAGGAAUCUGCUCUCAUUCCUUAUAUUAGCUUGCAAAGCAAUGGAAAUUAUAAGUGAUCAAGUGAACCUCACGUUGCAGAGUUCCUAGUAAGGUGAUAUGGAAGAGCGAAGAGGGGGUUGUACCUAGCUGGAAGAGAGAGAAACAUUCUUUUUGGUUAAAAAUCCCGCAAGUACACGUCAGCAUCUCACCUUAGAUUUCAUCAGAAAAUGGCCUUAGGGCCUUUAUGUAGUGACAAAUGAAAGUUCGAGAAUUUUUGUGAUAUAAAUUGAUGUUUAAGGACAUUACCGAAAUAACCACUAAAGUUCAAGGAUGGUGGGUGAAAUUUAGCCCAAAAU
rnacentral:misc_RNA from 1 species